rnacentral:rRNA from 1 species
GGAAUAUUGCACAAUGGGCGCAAGCCUGAUGCAGCGACGCCGCGUGGGCGAAGCAGGUUUUCGGAUCGUAAAGCCCUUUUCUGCGUGACGAUGAUGACGGUAGCGCAGGACGACGUGUCGGCGCACUACGUGCCAGCCGCAGCGGUAAAACGUAGGACGCGAACGUUAUCCGGAAUUACUGGGCGUAAAGGGCGCGCCGGCGGUCGGGUAAGUUAGGCAUGAAAGCUCCCUGGCUAAACCGGGAGAGGCUGUCUGAUACUGCCGGACUGGAGUGUGGUAGAGGGGUGUAGAAUUCUGCGUGUAGUGGUGAAAUGCGUAGAUAUGCGGAGGAAUACCAGUGGCGAAGGCGGCACCCUGGACCACAACUGACGCUGAGGCGCGAAAGCAUGGGUAGCGAAC